rnacentral:tRNA from 1 species
AAUGAGUGUAGCUCAACGGUAGAGCGAGGCCAUGAAGCUGUGGUUAUGGGUUCAAAUCCCAUCACGCA